rnacentral:rRNA from 1 species
ACUCCUACGGGAGGCAGCAGUGAGGAAUAUUGCGCAAUGGAGGCAACUCUGACGCAGCCAUGCCGCGUGCAGGAAGAAGGCGCUACGCGUUGUAAACUGCUUUUAUCCGGGAAGAAACCCCAGGACGUGUCCUGGGUUGACGGUACCGGAGGAAUAAGCACCGGCUAACUUCGUGCCAGCAGCCGCGGUAAUACGAAGGGUGCAAGCGUUAUCCGGAUUCAUUGGGUUUAAAGGGUGCGUAGGCGGNGCGUUAAGUCAGUGGUGAAAUCCUGCAGCUCAACUGUAGACUUGCCAUUGAUACUGNCGNUCUUGAGUGCGCUUGAAGUGGGCGGAAUGUGCCGUGUAGCGGUGAAAUGCUUAGAUAUGGCACAGAACACCNAUUGCGAAGGCAGCUCACUAAGGCGAUACUGACGCUGAGGCACGAAAGCGUGGGGAUCGAACAGGAUUAGAUACCCUGGUAGUC